UACGGGGGGGGCAAGCGUUGUUCGGAAUUACUGGGCGUAAAGCGUGCGUAGACGGUUAUUUAAGUCGGGUGUGAAAGCCCCGGGCUCAACCUGGGAAUUGCAUUCGAGACUGAAUAGCUAGGGUACGGUAGAGGGAAGCGGAAUUUCCGGUGUAGCGGUGAAAUGCGUAGAUAUCGGGAGGAACACCAGUGGCGAAGGCGGCUACCUGGACCAGCACUGACACUGAGGCACGAAAGCGUGGGGAGCAAACAGG
rnacentral:rRNA from 1 species